CAGGCCUAACACAUGCAAGUCGAGCGCUUGGGGUGUUCCCUUACGGGAAACCCCCUGGAGCGGCGGACGGGUGAGUAACACGUAGGCAACCUGCCUGUAAGAUCGGGAUAACUACCGGAAACGGUAGCUAAGACCGGAUAGCUGGUUUCUCCGCAUGGGGGAAUCAUGAAACACGGGGCAACCUGUGGCUUACGGAUGGGCCUGCGGCGCAUUAGCUAGUUGGUGGGGUAAUGGCCCACCAAGGCGACGAUGCGUAGCCGACCUGAGAGGGUGAUCGGCCACACUGGGACUGAGACACGGCCCAGACUCCUACGGGAGGCAGCAGUAGGGAAUCUUCCGCAAUGGGCGCAAGCCUGACGGAGCAACGCCGCGUGAGUGAUGAAGGUUUUCGGACCGUAAAGCUCUGUUGCCAAGGAAGAACGCCUCGGAGAGUAACUGCUCUGAGGGUGACGGUACUUGAGAAGAAAGCCCCGGCUAACUACGUGCCAGCAGCCGCGGUAAUACGUAGGGGGCAAGCGUUGUCCGGAAUUAUUGGGCGUAAAGCGCGCGCAGGCGGUCUUUUAAGUUUGGUGUUUAAGCCCGGGGCUCAACCCCGGUUCGCACUGAAAACUGGGAGACUUGAGUGCAGGAGAGGAAAGCGGAAUUCCACGUGUAGCGGUGAAAUGCGUAGAGAUGUGGAGGAACACCAGUGGCGAAGGCGGCUUUCUGGACUGUAACUGACGCUGAGGCGCGAAAGCGUGGGGAGCAAAC
rnacentral:rRNA from 1 species